CAGCGAAUUGUUAAACGUAGUCAGUUAAUUUUAUUAAGAGCGGAAAAGUCAAGGCUUACGGGCGGUUCGAGUCCGCCUCCGCUGAC
rnacentral:tRNA from 1 species